GAGAAAUGAUGAGUUCUUUUGGUCCGUGUUUCUGAUCUAACCAUGACAGAGAAUAACCUUACCAAACUCUGAUUCC